rnacentral:rRNA from 1 species
GACGACGCUGGCGGCAGGCCUAACACAUGCAAGUCGAACGAGUGGCGGACGGGUGAGUAAUGUCUGGGAAACUGCCUGAUGGAGGGGGAUAACUACUGGAAACGGUAGCUAAUACCGCAUACCAUCGGAUGUGCCCAGAUCGGAUUAGCUAGUAGGUGGGGUAAAGGCUCACCUAGGCGACGAUCCCUCGCUGGUCUGAGCGGAUGACCAGCCACACUGGAACGGAGAAACGGUCCAGACUCCUACGGGAGGCAGCAGUGGGGAAUAUUGCACAAUGGGCGCAAGCCGGAUGCAGCCAUGCCGCGUGUGUGAAGAAGGUCUUCGGAUUAUAAAGCACUGUAAGUUGGGAUGCGUUACCAACAGAAUAAGCACCGGCUAACUUCGUGCCAGCAGCCGCGGUAAUAC